rnacentral:rRNA from 1 species
UACGAAGGGGGCUAGCGUUGUUCGGAUUCACUGGGCGUAAAGGGUGCGCAGGUGGUCGGGUAAGUCUGACGUGAAAUCCCGCAGCUUAACUGCGGAAUGGCAUUGGAUACUAUUCGGCUAGAGGGUUGGAGGGGGGACUGGAAUUCUCGGUGUAGCAGUGAAAUGCGUAGAUAUCGAGAGGAACACCAGUGGCGAAGGCGAGUCCCUGGACAACUCCUGACGCUGAGGCACGAAAGCUAGGGGAGCAAACAGG